AUUUGGUUUUUGCAAUCCUAUGACAUAGGUAUUAGAGCUCAAUUUGGGGUGGCAGAGAAUGGGAGAGUCACAGAUACCUUAAAAAUCUUAUAAUCAAAGCUAUUUCAGUAACUGGACUUGUGGCCAGAAAUAUAUCUGUGGAUGGGAUGCCAUGAAUCCUGUAUUAAUAAUAAUGGAGAAGAAGUUGACAUCUGAGCCAUCUGUUCUGAAUCUGGAAAAGAAUUCACUGAUCCUAUUGUUAUGUUGGUUCCAAGUGCUUCCAUUGGGGCCUCCCCAAAAAAGCAGUGGCAGAGUUGAGUCUACCAUCCUUGCCGAAGGUCUGCCCAAUGCGUUUGCAUUGAUCUAAAUGCAAAUUCUAAAAAGUGAUCCGUGAAUUCUGACAUAAAAGAACAUCGCUUCACUGGCAACAGAGGAAGUCGUCCUGAAGAAAUCCCAGCAGUCACCUUUCAACAACCAAAGAAAAAUUUAAUUUCAUAAUUUAAAAUUAAUAAAAAGGAAAAUAAACAAAUGAAGCGAAACUGA
rnacentral:lncRNA from 1 species